AGCUCCAAUAGCGUAUAUUAAAGUUGUUGCGGUUAAAAAGCUCGUAGUUGGAUUUCAGUUCUGGACUGACGGUUCACCGCCCGGUGCACACUGUCACGCUCCGAACAGCCACAACAGCCCGCUGGCUCGCACGGGGUGCUCUUCAUCGAGUGUCCCGCGUGGCCGGCAGAGUUUACUUUGAAAAAAUUAGAGUGCUCAAAGCAGGCUACACUGACGGCCUGAAUGCCUAUGCAUGGAAUAAUGGAAUAGGACCUCGGUUCUAUUUUGUCGGUUUUCUGAACCCGAGGUAAUGACUAAUAGGAACAGGCGGGGGCAUUCGUAUUGCGACGCUAGAGGUGAAAUUCUUGGACCGUCGCAAGACGAACUACUGCGAAAGCAUUUGCCAAGGAUGUUUUCAUUA
rnacentral:rRNA from 1 species